UGAUACUUAUAUGGAGGUUGCUCUUUCUGAAUAGGAUAAACAAAGAUACCGACCAAGAAAGGGUAGAAUUGUCGCAAGUUAGAUCUUAGUAUAUAUUAAGAGUAAAAUAUAUUUUUUUAAUAUUUUAUUCUAUCUUGUUUAUUGUAAAAAAUAGAAAAAUACAGUUAUUUUGUCGACUAAACAAGCGCUCCUAAAAGCUUAUGCAAAAAACAAGAUGCCAAACCAAGCCUUAGAUUGCUUUAAGAAAUUGGAGGAGGUUUUUUGGUGCAAGGAUGGAAUAAGAUCUUACAAUGCUUUUAUCAAAGUCAAUCAGUUAGGAAAAGCAUUUUUUUUUUUUCGAUUAUUUUGAAACAGUGGGUAUCUUGCCUAAUUUGCGAACAUAUAAUAUUUUGAUCGAGAUUUCUGUUAAGAAGAGACAAUUUGUCAAGGCAUGGAUUGGAUGUGGGGUAAAGAUUUAAAGCCUGAUGUGUAUAGCUAUAGUACUAUGAUGUGUGACGUGGUGUAAAAUGCGGGUUUGUGAAGUGCACUUGAGGUGUUUGAUGAAAUGUUCGAAAGGGGCUUAGUUCCUGAUGUGAUGUGUUGUAUGAUUCAUUUGCUUUUCAAAAGAGGAGAAUAUCUCAAGGGGAAAGAGAUUUGGGAAAGGUUGGUUAAAGGGUCCUGUGUUUAUUCAAAUGUGGUUACGUAUAUUGUUAUGAUUUAUUGGUUUGUGUAAAAUGAGGAGGAUUGAUGAGAGCUUGGAAAUGUGGGAGAGGAUGAAAAAGGAAUGGAUUCGUUUCAGUAUAGCUGUUUGAAUAAGGCGCUGACGAUAUUGAAAGAGGCAGAAGAUGGAAGAGAUAAGCUGGAUGCUCUUGCACAUUCCUCGAUGGUUGAUGGGUUAAGCAAACAAGGAAGAGUAGAUGAUGCAUUGGGCGUAGUGCAUCAGAUGGAUAAUCAUGGCUGGGAAUGGAAUCCAAAGGUUGUUCUCCUUCUCUUGUCGUCCAUAACACUCUUAUAAAUGGUCUGUGCAAGGCAGAAAGAUUUUGCCAUGCAUAUUCUUUUGUAAAGGAAAUGCUAAAAAAAAGACUGGAAGCCAGACUCGAUCACUUAUAGCUUAUUGAUGGUGGCCUUCAACUUGUGGCGCCAAGCUCUUGACAAGGGUUUGGAGCCUUAUGUAACAUUUUGAUGCAUGGCCUUGCUCUGCUCGGAAAAUUGGAGAUGCUUUGCUGCUUUAUUCAAA